GACGAACGCUGGCGGCGUGCCUAAUACAUGCAAGUAGAACGCUGAAGAGAGGAGCUUGCUCUUCUUGGAUGAGUUGCGAACGGGUGAGUAACGCGUAGGUAACCUGCCUGGUAGCGGGGGAUAACUAUUGGAAACGAUAGCUAAUACCGCAUAAAAUUGAUUAUUGCAUGAUAAUUAAUUGAAAGAUGCAACUGCAUCACUACCAGAUGGACCUGCGUUGUAUUAGCUAGUUGGUGAGGUAACGGCUCACCAAGGCGACGAUACAUAGCCGACCUGAGAGGGUGAUCGGCCACACUGGGACUGAGACACGGCCCAGACUCCUACGGGAGGCAGCAGUAGGGAAUCUUCGGCAAUGGGGGGAACCCUGACCGAGCAACGCCGCGUGAGUGAAGAAGGUUUUCGGAUCGU
rnacentral:rRNA from 1 species